GAAUUUAAAGAGGUAUAUGAUGGAUUUGAUCAUCAACUUUCAUUUGAGAGAGUAAUGCAAGAGAAAAAGAACACAGUACUCCAAGAAACCAUAGCUUCUGGCAGAUGUUGCAAGAAUGAGUUAGAUCAUUGACCUUUUUUUCUGGGGCAUUGUGUCAAUUUUGAGUGGAGUUUCCAAUUGCACAAUAGCAUCUGGACAGUUUUGACAUCUUUAUUACACUCUGCCCAUCUUGAAAAUGGAAAAAUACUUAAGUCAUGGUAUCCGGCUUCAAGAAGCAUGCACCACUUAUGAAUUGUCUCUUGACAAGUAACAUGUGCAUAUUACAAACCCAAAGGCAUGUCUGAAGUGAUUCUUCUGGAGACUUACAUUCCUCAAAGCUCUCUCUCUCCUCAAAGUAUCACCACUUUGUUUCAGAGAAGAAAAUGUGUAAAUGUGUAAUGGAAAUGUGUAAAUGAUUAAAGCAUCUGUAUAAACAAAGAA